rnacentral:rRNA from 1 species
AAUACUCGUGAUCGACCGAUAGUGAACCAGUACCGUGAGGGAAAGGCGAAAAGAACCCCGGGAGGGGAGUGAAAUAGUACCUGAAACCUUGUGCUUACAAGCAGUCACAGCCCGUUAAAGGGUGGUGGCGUACUUUUUGUAGAACGGUCCGGCGAGUUAUAGUCACUAGCGAGCUUAAGACAUUCAGUGUUGGAGGCGUAGGGAAACCGAGUCUGAACAGGGCGAAUGAAGUUAGUGGCCAUAGACCCGAAACCAUGUGACCUAGCCAUGAGCAGGAUGAAGUGGAGGUAAAGCUCCAUGGAGGUCCGAACGCACGUUCGUUGCAAUGACCGGCGAUGACUUGUGGCUAGCGGUGAAAUUCCAAUCGAACUUGGAGAUAGCUGGUUCUCCCCGAAAUAGCUUUAGGGCUAGCGUUGGCAAUGAGUUUCCCGGAGGUAAAGCACUGAAUGAGCUAGGGGGCGCGAGCUUACUGAACUCUAUCAAACUAAGAAUGCCGCAUAAAUGCUUCCCAGCAGUCAGACUGCGAGUAAUAAAAUCCGUGGUCAAAAGGGUAACAGCCCAGACCCACAGCUAAGGUCCCCAAUACAUGCUAAGUGGAAAACGAUGUGAGAUCGCAUAAACAACCAGGAUGUUGGCUUAGAGGCAGCCACUCGUUCAAAGAGUGCGUAAUAGCUCACUGGUCGAGUGAUCUUGCGCGGAAAAUUUAACGGGGCUAAGCAUGUAACCGAAGCUUGGGAUUGCGCAAUGCGCAGUGGUAGGGGAGCGUCGUGUACGGGGUGAAGUACGAUCGAGAGGACGUGUGGACUGUACACGAGUGAGAAUGCCGGAAUGAGUAGCGAGAAUUAUGUGGGAAUCAUAAUGGCCGAAAAUCUAAGGUUUCUUGGGGAAGGUUCGUCCGCCCAAGGUAAGCCGGGAGCUAAGGCGAGGCCGAAAGGCGUAGUCGAUGCACAUACGGUUGAAAUUCCGUAGCCGCCGAAAUUGUUAAGCACAGGGACACAUAGAGAUAUCCGAACCCGGGCGUUGGUUGACCCGGGCGCAAGGGACCGAACAUCAGUAGGGAAGUCGGAGAUGCUCUGUGGCGAGAAAAGCUGUGUGUAUUGAUUAGGCGCCCGUACCGCAAACCGACACAGGUAGAUGAGGAGAGAAUCCUAAGGCCAACGGGAGAAGGGUUGUUAAGGAACUCGGCAAAUUGACCCCGUAACUUCGGAAGAAGGGGAGCCCCCUACGGGGGGUCGCAGAGAAAUGGCCCAAGCAACUGUUUACCAAAAACACAGGUCUAUGCUAAAUCGAAAGAUGACGUAUAUGGGCUGACGCCUGCCCGGUGCCGGAAGGUUAAGAGGAGAUGUCAGGCAACGAAGCAUUGAAUUUAAGCCCCGGUAAACGGCGGCCGUAACUAUAACGGUCCUAAGGUAGCGAAAUUCCUUGUCAGGUAAGUUCUGACCCGCACGAAUGGCGUAAUGAUUUGGGCACUGUCUCAACAGCCCGCCCGGCGAAAUUGUAGUACUGGUGAAGAUGCCAGUUACCCGCAACUAGACGGAAAGACCCCAUGGAGCUUUACUGCAGCUUAAUACUGGAAUUCGGUAAAUCAUGUACAGGAUAGGUGGGAGACUGGGAAGCAUUGGCGUCAGCCAGUGUGGAGUCGCUGGUGGGAUACCACUCUUGAUUUGCUGGGUUUCUAACUUCUGCAAGGGCUUGUUCAUAAUCACCUCGCUGGGCAUCUAAAAAUCGUUGUAAGUUAUAGUUGGUCAUAGAUACUUCUCGCAUUUUUUUAAGUUAUCGUACUUUCAGGAGAUAACAGAAUCAAAUAAGUGAUUUAUUUCGAAUCACAGCACUUUUUUCAAUUCUAUUAAAGCCGAGACUUCGUUUUCCUUAUUAAUGUACUUCUCUAUUUCAUAGGGUUUAUAUCCUAAUUUAGUAUAUAACAGAAGCCCACUCGUAUUAGCAUCAAAACAAGACAAAUGAAGCUCCGAUACAUUAUAUUUCUUUUUCCCAAUAUCUUCCAUAGCAUUUAUCAGAAAUGUGCCAACGCCACGAUUACGAAAACAAGGACUUACUAUUACAUUUCCAAUAGCACAAUAUUGAGAUUCUCUUACCUCAUAGAAAUUUGCAAACCCUACUACUUCAUUAUUAAAUAAAACAACAGUCGAAUCAAAUCUAUCUUUUAUUGUAUUCUUUAAUUGAUUGAUUGUUAAAGGAAAAUCAGCUUUAGGAAACAUAAAAAACAGUUCCUGCUUGUUUCGAGGUAAUUUACAAACAGUUUCUAAAUCGUCAAACGUAAAAUCUCUAUAAGUAAGUUUU